ensembl:lincRNA Gm12714 predicted gene 12714
AGAAGAGCUCUGCUUAUCAUGUGGAUAUGUCGUGUGGAUGGGUAUUUCCAUCUCUGCCCAGACUCUAGUGUUGGAAGGAUUCACUGCCAGGCUCUUCCAUGGAAUGCCAUUUAUCCUUCUGUGGGGCCCUGGAGAGGCUGCCAGGCCCGUGCACGGUCACCUCUGCCACAGGAAGCAGCAGCCAGUGUAUGCACUCCAGUGGUGUAUUUUCCAAAGAGCACACAAGAAGGUAUAAGUCCAGGUGUUCAAAUAAAGGCAAGAAAACAGACCAGAAAAGCUGAGGUGUCACAGUGGACCACAAGACCAGCUCACUGAGCUCUCAACGCUCAAUGGCUCUUCAAACCCAAAGCUCCAAAGUCUCUCCACAGUCCUCCCGAAAACAACAUGGCCAGGAGGAUCUGUAUUGGCUCACGGGGAAAUGUAAUCUGUCAUGGAUCCGGAAGCAUGGCAUCCACAGCUUGAUUAUCUGAGUGGUUUUUGCUCUUCAUUUCAAUGGCAACCGCUGAUUGAUACAGCUAUGUUCAGAGCAGUGUUAUUCACAAAAGUUAGAAGCUGGAAGCAAGCCUUGGAUGAAUGAAUGUGCUCCACCAACACAGUGAGAGAUUUUCCUGAUUUACAAAGCAGGAACUUCUGACAUGUGUUUCAACAUAGAUUCAACACUGAAGUCCU